UACGUAGGGGGCAAGCGUUAUCCGGAUUUACUGGGUGUAAAGGGGGCGCAGACGGCGAUGCAAGCCAGAUGUGAAAGCCCGGGGCUCAACCCCGGGACUGCAUUUGGAACUGUGCUGCUAGAGUGUCGGAGAGGCAGGCGGAAUUCCUGGUGUAGCGGUGAAAUGCGUAGAUAUCAGGAGGAACACCGGUGGCGAAGGCGGCCUGCUGGACUGCAACUGACGUUGAGGCCCGAAAGCGUGGGGAGCAAACAGG
rnacentral:rRNA from 1 species